AACCUAGCACACCUGCGGUGUGUACCUGCGGAGGGAUCAUUACCGAGUUCUGGGGUCCUCGCGACCCCGCUCUCCCACCCCAUGUUUACCGACCUCCGUUGCCUCGGCGGGCCCGCGGGCCCCGCCUGCCGCCGGCCCCUUCGGGGGCGGGCCAGCGCCCGCCAGAGGACCAACCCAACUCUACGUCAACCAGCCGUCUGAGCACAACGAUAAAUAUAUCAAAACUUUCAACAAUGGAUC
rnacentral:misc_RNA from 1 species